GCCGAAGUGGCGGAAUUGGUAGACGCGCUAGGUUCAGGGUCUAGUGGGGGUAACCCCGUGGAAGUUCGAGUCUUCUCUUCGGCACCA
rnacentral:tRNA from 1 species